rnacentral:rRNA from 1 species
UGGGGAAUCUUGCACAAUGGACGAAAGUCUGAUGCAGCAACGCCGCGUGGGGGAUGAAGCUUCUCGGAGUGUAAACCCCUUUCGACCUGGACGAAUGCCCGCAAGGGUUUGACGGUACAGGUAUAAGAAGCCCCGGCUAACUACGUGCCAGCAGCCGCGGUAAUACGUAGGGGGCCAGCGUUGCUCGGAAUUACUGGGCGUAAAGGGUCCGUAGGCGGUGUGGUAAGUCGAUAGUGAAAUCUCUGGGCUUAACCCAGAGGCUGCUAACGAAACUACCAUGCUAGAGUGUGAGAGAGGCGAGUGGAAUUACGGGUGUAGCGGUGAAAUGCGUAGAUAUCCGUAGGAACAUCCGAGGCGAAAGCGGCUCGCUGGAUCACAACUGACGCUGAGGGACGAAAGCUAGGGGAGCAAACAGG